rnacentral:rRNA from 1 species
GACGAACGCUGGCGGCGUGCCUAAUACAUGCAAGUAGAACGCACAGUUUAUACCAUAGCUUGCUACACCAUAGACUGUGAGUUGCGAACGGGUGAGUAACGCGUAGGUAACCUGCCUGGUAGCGGGGGAUAACUAUUGGAAACGAUAGCUAAUACCGCAUAAUAUUAAUUAUUGCAUGAUAAUUAAUUGAAAGGUGCAAUUGCACCACUACCAGAUGGACCUGCGUUGUAUUAGCUAGUAGGUGAGGUAACGGCUCACCUAGGCGACGAUACAUAGCCGACCUGAGAGGGUGAUCGGCCACACUGGGACUGAGACACGGCCCAGACUCCUACGGGAGGCAGCAGUAGGGAAUCUUCGGCAAUGGACGAAAGUCUGACCGAGCAACGCCGCGUGAGUGAAGAAGGUUUUCGGAUCGUAAAGCUCUGUUGUAAGAGAAGAACGGGUGUGAGAGUGGAAAGUUCACACUGUGACGGUAUCUUACCAGAAAGGGACGGCUAACUACGUG